AAUGGAUAUCCUGCAAGCCGGCUUCGUAGAGUCUCCCUUGAAAGUGGACCUCGUGAUCUAGCCUUUAUGUCCGUGGAUUGACACUGUGAUGGAUUCCCCCCAAGUUCAUUUAGAUAUUCUCUCUUAUUCAUAAAUGUCACGGUCAGCUCUGUUCUUAUAGAUACCAGAAUGGAUACCCCUAAGCUGAUGUAUAUACACCCUUCCUCGGUUGCGAGAUUCCUGCUCUGGUGGUUGUAGUCAUAAGAUAUACAUCGUUGCGUACACCUUGGUUGUGGGCACGCACACUACUGUUGAAUUACCACCUUGUCCAAGUGGAUGGAUGCCCUCAAUGGGAUUUGGCACAUUCUCCAUUGCUCCUGCGCUCUGUUAUCAGCACUUCGGGUUCAUAAUGUACACACAGCAAUGGAUUUUCUGCAGCUGAUUUUCCAUAUUCUGUUUUCUUCGGGUAAGCAGAAACAGAUGCCUUCCUCACUGGUCACCAGGUUCAAGGUCCCUCAUAUGUGUCAGGUGCAUAGUCACCAACAAAGGCCAACUUCACAUCAAUGGGUGGAUCG
rnacentral:lncRNA from 1 species